rnacentral:rRNA from 1 species
GAUGAACGCUGGCGGCGUGCCUAAUACAUGCAAGUCGAGCGAACAGACGAGGAGCUUGCUCCUCUGACGUUAGCGGCGGACGGGUGAGUAACACGUGGAUAACCUACCUAUAAGACUGGGAUAACUUCGGGAAACCGGAGCUAAUACCGGAUAAUAUAUUGAACCGCAUGGUUCAAUAGUGAAAGACGGUUUUGCUGUCACUUAUAGAUGGAUCCGCGCCGCAUUAGCUAGUUGGUAAGGUAACGGCUUACCAAGGCAACGAUGCGUAGCCGACCUGAGAGGGUGAUCGGCCACCCUGGAACUGAGACACGGUCCAGGCUCCUACGGGAGGCAGCAGUAGGGAAUCUUCCGCAAUGGGCGAAAGCCUGACGGAGCAACGCCACGUGAGUGAUGAAGGUCUUCGGAUCGUAAAACUCUGUUAUUAGGGAAGAACAAAUGUGUAAGUAACUAUGCACGUCUUGACGGUACCUAAUCAGAAAGCCACGGCUAACUCCGUG